GACGAACGCUGGCGGCGUGCUUAACACAUGCAAGUCGAACGGAAAGGACCUGCUUUUGUGGGGUGCUCGAGUGGCGAACGGGUGAGUAACACGUGAGUAACCUGCCCUUGACUUUGGGAUAACUUCAGGAAACUGGGGCUAAUACCGGAUAGGAGCUCCUGCUGCAUGGUGGGGGUUGGAAAGUUUCGGCGGUUGGGGAUGGACUCGCGGCUUAUCAGCUUGUUGGUGGGGUAGUGGCUUACCAAGGCUUUGACGGGUAGCCGGCCUGAGAGGGUGACCGGGCACAUUGGGACUGAGAUACGGGCCAGACUCCUACGGGAGGCAGCAGUGGGGAAUAUUGCACAAUGGGCGGAAGCCUGAUGCAGCAACUCCGCGUGCGGGAUGACGGCCUUCGGGUUGUAAACCGCUUUCGCCUGUGACGAAGCGUGAGUGACGGUAAUGGGUAAAGAAGCACCGGCUAACUACGUG
rnacentral:rRNA from 1 species